rnacentral:tRNA from 2 species
GCCCGGGUGGGGUAGGGGUUAUCCUAUAGGACUGUGGAUCCUUCGACUCGGGUUCGAUUCCCGACCCGGGCCCCA